UGGGGAAUAUUGGACAAUGGGCGCAAGCCUGAUCCAGCCAUGCCGCGUGAGUGAUGAAGGCCUUAGGGUUGUAAAGCUCUUUUGCCCGGGAAGAUAAUGACGGUACCGGGAGAAUAAGCCCCGGCUAACUUCGUGCCAGCAGCCGCGGUAAUACGAAGGGGGCUAGCGUUGCUCGGAAUCACUGGGCGUAAAGCGCACGUAGGCGGACUUUUAAGUCAGGGGUGAAAUCCUGGAGCUCAACUCCAGAACUGCCUUUGAUACUGGAAGUCUUGAGUUCGAGAGAGGUGAGUGGAACUGCGAGUGUAGAGGUGAAAUUCGUAGAUAUUCGCAAGAACACCAGUGGCGAAGGCGGCUCACUGGCCCGGUACUGACGCUGAGGUGCGAAAGCGUGGGGAGCAAAC
rnacentral:rRNA from 1 species